rfam:Stegodyphus mimosarum contig24788, whole genome shotgun sequence.
GAAUUUUUGAUUAACAAACUCAGCCAUUUGGAAG